ACACCAUCUUUCAUUCCCACCAUUCUUUGUGAAGAGGAAUCCAAAUGUUCUUUGGCCUGAUCGAGUUCUUAUGGGUGCCUUGAGCCAUCCUAGGAGGCAUCCCAAGUAACAACAUUAAGAACGUAUAAAUGUUUGAACUGUGCAGACUUCUUGUUGUGAGAAAAAAAGCCUGCAGCCAAUGAGAUAGAAAUGGAGAGAAGGGCAAUAGCAGCUUGCACAUGUCAAGGAUCUGCAGCGCAUGAA